GAUGAACGCUGGCGGCGUGCCUAAUACAUGCAAGUCGAGCGAACGGACGAGAAGCUUGCUUCUCUGAUGUUAGCGGCGGACGGGUGAGUAACACGUGGAUAACCUACCUAUAAGACUGGGAUAACUUCGGGAAACCGGAGCUAAUACCGGAUAAUAUUUUGAACCGCAUGGUUCAAAAGUGAAAGACGGUCUUGCUGUCACUUAUAGAUGGAUCCGCGCUGCAUUAGCUAGUUGGUAAGGUAACGGCUUACCAAGGCAACGAUGCAUAGCCGACCUGAGAGGGUGAUCGGCCACACUGGAACUGAGACAGGGUCCAGACUCCUACGGGAGGCAGCAGUAGGGAAUCUUCCGCAAAGGGCGAAAGCCUGACGGAGCAACGCCGCGUGAGUGAUGAAGGUCUUCGGAUCGUAAAACUCUGUUAUUAGGGAAGAACAUAUGUGUAAGUAACUGUGCACAUCUUGACGGUACCUAAUCAGAAAGCCACGGCUAACUACGUG
rnacentral:rRNA from 1 species